UACGGGGGGGGCAAGCGUUGUUCGGAUUGACUGGGCGUAAAGGGCGUGUAGGCGGUUGGUCAAGUCCGAUGUGAAAGCCCGGGGCUCAGCUUCGGAAGUGCAUCGGAAACUAGCCAGCUGGAGCGCGAUAGAGGAGGGCGGAAUUCCUGGUGUAGCGGUGAAAUGCGUAGAUAUCAGGAGGAACACCGGCGGCGAAGGCGGCCCUCUGGAUCGUUGCUGACGCUGAGACGCGAAAGCGUGGGGAGCAAACAGG
rnacentral:rRNA from 1 species